ensembl:misc_RNA Y_RNA Y RNA
GGCUGGUCCGAUGGCAGUGGGUUAUCAGAACUUAUUAACAUUAGUGUCACUAAAGUUGGUAUACCACCCCCCCCCACUGCUAAAUUUGACUGGCUUUAA